CCCCUCCGGCAGGUCGGGCCACGAGUGCACCCAGUUCCCGUCGUUGCACAGGCCACCUGGGCUGCCGGGCCCCUCAGCCUGGGUCGUCAGGAGGCCUCCAGGGGUGCACUCGGGCUGCAGGCCAGCACUUGCUGCUCUCUUGGUGCCUGUCUCAGCUCUCUGCCAACCAACCGUUCAGUCAGUCAAUCCAGCAGUGUCCCAUUGCCACUUGUGUGGCUGCCAGGUGCAGCCGGUCAGGGCCUCCUUGGUGGGAGCCUGGUUCUGGCAUCUUCUCUCUCACUGCCGAGGGUCAGCCCGGGGGGCAGCAGAGCUUCCGGGCUGAAGUGGGUGCAUCCCUGUCCUGCAAGCCCAGGGAGGACACGGAGCAGUGCGGACACAUCCCUUCCCACCGUCUCACUGCCCGCUGACCCUCCAUUCUGAAAACCCUCCUUCUGAAGACCUCCAUUCUGAAGACCCUCUGCUGCCAGCGAAUAUGGCUGAGACCCCCAGCGCCCCUGCCCCUGCAGCGCACAGCACGCGGUAGGGAGGACGUCUGUGCACAGGCCCGCCACAGGCUGUGAUAGGCUUUGCAGGAAGGCCCGAGGGGGAAGCCGCCCUCCUGCAUCCAACUGGUGCAUGGCCAGGAUGCCUCGCCCGCCCGCACGGAUCUGCUGCCUCCUAGCCUGGGCGCCGCACCCACCUGGGCCCUCCUUGUUGAGGGGCCAUGGCUGAGUCCCUCCUCCACACCCUGGCUCGGGAUCUUCCUCUCCCGGCCUCUCCCCUACCUCCUCCAGUCCCCCAGGUCCAUGGACAGGCCGGAGCCUUUUGUCCGGGCUCCUGGGUUGUGAGCUGACUCCUGUCGACUGCCACCCACCUCUUGCUGGUGACAUCCCCUGGGAAAAGUGGGACUCCAAGACACGGACACCUUUUCCUUCUGCCUUCGCCUGUUGCCCGCACUGCUGCGGUGAGCGAAUGGAGGCAUGCGUGUGGCUUCACCCACCACCUCGACACCAGCAGCUCAACACAGUCCAAAUAAAGCGCACGUGUCCCGCUGA